CUAAAACUUCCUUUUUACAUUUGUAGGGACUAUCUGUUCCAUGUAGUGAAUCUGUUAUUCAGUUCGUUUGUAUGGACUAAUGGCAGUAAGGCCUACAAUUAUAUAAAAAAAGAGGAACAAAUACAGUACCAGUCAAAAAUUUGGACACCUACUCAUUCAAGGGGUUUUCUUUAUUUUUACUAUUUUCUACAUUGUAGAAUAAUAGUGAAGGCACAAACUAUGAACAAAUCAAAAUAUAUUUGAGAUUCUUCAAAGUAGCCACCCUUUGCCUUGAUGACAACUUUGCACACUCUUACGGUGCAUGUACACUAGAUAGCGGUAAAUUGCCACGUGCCGCUUAGGCCUCCCGCAUAUGGCAGCAUGUUAGAUUUUGCGUCAAUAAUUCAGCAUAGCAUUUUUGUUUGAAGGCCGGAUUAUUAAAUGGGUACAUAGUUCAAUAGUAAUAUCCUCUAAAACGCUCUGGUGACACAACUUUGCUGCCCUGUUUCCGAUCGUCCACAUGGCUGGGAGAACCUAUUCAAGUAAGUAAAUAUAUUUUGAAAAUGUAACAAUGAACAAUGUAUUAUUAACUAACUAGCUACAGUGCAGGCUAACUCAAAUGAGCUGCUAAAUGUGCUAGCUAGUUGGCUAGCUAUCUACCUAGCCAACUUCACAUACUGUAUAGAUAGCUAAGUGAAUGAAAUGUCACCAUAUUAGCUAGCUAUAUGCAUUUGUAGGUAGCUAGCUAACGGCCAUGGAGGAGGGUGAAAGGAUAGCCGCCCCAACUUUCAGUGAGAGAGUAGGCUAUUCUGGAUAGGGCAGGUACUUUUGUGUUGUUCCUGUCGCUAGAAGUGAGGACGGAGAUAAUAGUAACAUAAUAUUCAGUGCGGUGUAAUAUGACUAUAAUGAAGUCUGUUUCUUGUGAGGUUUUCUGUCCUCAGAUACAGAGAGCUGUGAAAGCCUGUCUCCAGAUGAAGAGGUCCCAAUGAAGAGCAGUGGUUCUCAGUCCUGGUCCAGGAGACUCAAAGAGCAUAAAGUACUCUGCAGCCACUUAGUGUAGUCCGGACAACAGGUGAGGCCACACACACAGAUUCCUGUUGAACACUGUCCCUGAGAGAGGCUGGACUGAGGGCUUGUAGGCUUGUUGUAAG
ensembl:lncRNA